AGGACGAACGCUGGCGGCGUGCUUAACACAUGCAAGUCGAGCGGAAAGGCCCUUCGGGGUACUCGAGCGGCGAACGGGUGAGUAACACGUGAGUAAUCUGCCCUUAGCUCUGGGAUAGCUCCGGGAAACCGGGAUUAAUACCAGAUAUGACCACUUUAGACAUCUUUUGUGGUGGAAAGAAUUUCGGCUGGGGAUGAACUCGCGGCCUAUCAGCUUGUUGGUGAGGUAAUGGCUCACCAAGGCGACGACGGGUAGCCGGCCUGAGAGGGCGACCGGCCACACUGGGACUGAGACACGGCCCAGACUCCUACGGGAGGCAGCAGUGGGGAAUAUUGCGCAAUGGGCGAAAGCCUGACGCAGCGACGCCGCGUGGGGGAUGAAGGCCUUCGGUGUAACCCUUCUAGCAGGGACGAAGCGAAAGUGACGGUACCUGCAGAAGAAGCGCCGGCUACUACGCGCCAGCAGCCGC
rnacentral:rRNA from 1 species